GUUGAACUAAAAAGGUUCAACAAAAGGUUGACGCCAAAAUGCGCCCUUAUGUUUCACAUGUCAGUUGGAGUUUUCUCAGGCAAAAUUUCUAGUAACACAGCAUUUGAUUUUCACAUCAGUGAGCAAGGUUCAGUUUAGGAUUGAGAGCCCUCAGCGACUAUAACACCUAGCCCAUAUUCAAAUUGUAGCACUUGAUUGCUGCCACUGAUUCUUCAAAAUGCCUAUCUUGUAUAGAAUGCUUGACAGCCAAAUGGAAUGAUUUAAACAAAUGCCAAAGGUGAGACAUGCUGGAAAAGCUUGAUAUGAAUGUGUAGACGUAGUUUUGGAAUUCAGAGGUGCAGCCGGCUGUUGGG